rnacentral:lncRNA from 1 species
CUGGGCUUUCUGUAAUGAGAACCUGGGGCACAUCCCAGAGGAAGCCUUGGAGGGACAGGAGAAGAGCUCAGGACUGGGCAUUUGAGACCUGGUUUUUGAAUCCUGUAUGGCUUUAUCCCUGAUUUGCAAUGAGGCAAGUUUGUUCUUUCUUUGCCCUCUGUUUCUUCUCAGUGAACUGAGGGGUUGGCCAAAAUUGGUAUUUUGCAAACUAUUGGUAGUGGCCUAUUAAUGAGCUGUUAACUCUCUAUUUAAAAUUGUAGAUGAUUUUUUUUUUAAAUGGGAAGUACAGAAUAAGAAAUAAUGGAAAUAUUCAGAUGCAUUAUACACAGUAAGGGUAAUUAUUGCUUCCAGAACCUUCUGUAUGCAGUAUACCCUGUGCUGUUUGGUCCGUGGUAAAAUAUAUUUCUUACCAAUGGUCUUGGUCAGUUCUGCUUGAAAGCCUUUGGCUCAGGGGAGCUCCAGGGUCCUCCUAGAUGGAGAGUUAAGCUCGAACUGAGCCUGGUCUGGGGAGAAGGUCCCACCUUGUGGAGGAAGAUCUGGUGCAGUGCUAACCGGAUCUUUUCCUUCUCCCUGUUCUAGGAUGAAUGGAAGCCUAGGCGCUAACGCAGAUGACUGCAGAGACUUUCCCACCGGGCCUCAAGCCAAAACAACACAAAAAACCACAGCUCCUGAGUCGGAGUUCCUCAGUGCAGCUCACUCUCAGGGGUGCCCAGAUGGGCCUGACAAGGUAGGUGCAGGUGCCAUUGAGGGGACACAGGCACUAGGUGGAGCCACAGUGUCAGGCAAAGAUCUGUUUUCCCUGUUUCAUCACCGCCCGGCGGGAACUGCGGAGGGCAGUAAGAACUCACGACUCGGGGAUGCAGAAGAAGCAGCGAUGCUUGAGGCCACAGGUGUCUGACCUGUCCCCUCUUGGAUUCCAAAAGGCUGGAGUGGAAGAGGGAGGCUCUUUUACCUGACCCAGGGGCUCUCAUUACCACCGCGGACUUGGUGGGUUCUGCGGUGGCCUAAAGCUCCCAGGCAGCUGCAGAGGACAGGAGCUGCCACGAGGGGACAGCAGAACACCGGCGUUGACAGAGUGAGUUCUGUCCGCCAUAGUAGGAAUGGGAGAGACGUCUCUGUGCAGGGAACAAGGAUGCUCCAAGAGAGGCCUGGCAAGUUCUCUCCCCGAAGGCUCCAGGAGGAGUACAGCGUCCAGAUUUCCAAUAGAGGUCACCAGGGCCAGCCGGAGCUGACUCAUACAGGCUCACAAGAGCAGAUGGUUGAAUUUUUUAAAAAAAUCUUCAAGCCCACUGGUAAAUAUAGCCUUUGUCAAAACUCACCUUAAAGGAAUUGUUUGAAAGCAAACAUACUCUAAAACUCAUCAUUUUCUAAUUAUUUUGCUACUAUGUUUUAUGUUCCUGAGGUUAUUUACAUUUAUUCUGGUGGAAAUGCCAUAACACUGUUUUACUGCCGGCAGCAACAGAACAUCUUUAGUCUGAAACUGAUCGUGGAAGGGGAAUUUACACACCGAGGAGUCAACCCAUGCUGCAGAUCAGGGCUACUGCUGUUGCUCCUCUUCCUCCCCUGCCUCCUCCUCCUUCUUGUAGUGGGACUUGAACCCAGGUGCACUUUGCCACUGAGCUAGACCCCAGGCACUUUUUUUUUUUUUUUGAGACAGGGUCUUGCUGAAUUUCUUAAGUCCUCAUUAAGUUGCUGAGGUUGACCUCCAAACUUAAAUCCACCUCAGCCUCCUGAGUGCUGGGGGUUAUAGGCGUGGCCGUCCCACCUGGGCUUACUGGGCUGCUUUUGGAGAGCCAGCACACCUCUGAGACCCACUCCCCUCCUAUACCCAGUUCUCCCAUCUCUUCUCUUAUCCAGCCAGCCACUCCUACCUCUUCAGAGAUGGGAAGAUAAAAGGCUUGGCUUUGACCUGUAGCUCUGAGAACACUUCAGGACUUUACCUGGAUAAGCAGACAUGGAGAGAGAACUUAGAAGAGCAUGUCAUUCAAAGGGAAAAUAUCAAGGCAGGGCAGCACGUUGCCCCUCAUCCUCCCCUGCUCCCCACUCCUCCCACAACUCGUGGCACCUACAGAGCAGGUGAAGGAAGAGAUGUUGAGCCUGAAGAAGAGGAGAUACCGCCAACUGUCUACCAAACAUUUGAAGGGCUGGGAUGUGAGUGAGAACUUCUCUAUCAGUAUCCAAGAUAAAAAAAACCAAGGCCAAGACAUACAGAUUCAACUUAAUAUGAAGAACCUCAACUGAGCCAUUCGAAGAUGGGAUGAAAUGGUUCAUGAGUGCUGCCUCCUCCUCCAGUACAUGGGAUGCAUAAAAGAGAAUUUAAGACUCAUACAAAAGCCAUGCUGUCCACAGUCCAACAUUAUAGUGUUAGCUGAGAACUAGUUAGAAAUGCAGGACCUCAGGCUCCACCCCAGGCCUGCUGAAUCAGAAUCUAAAUUUUAACAAGACCCCAAAGUGACCUAUAAGAAACAGCAGUUUCAGAAGCUUCAAACUGAAUCAGAUGAAUUUGAGGUGGAGAUAUACUAUAUUAUUUCGUAUAAUGUAGUGGAAACUAUAGCAAUUGUUUCUUUAUGGAAACAAUCUGUAUUUGGGAGCUGGUUAGUACAUUAUAGCAAUCAAUGUGAUGGGAUAACUGUUCAUAUGGUAACAUGAAGGAGAUGAUUUUCAUUAACUGGUAGAGAUGAAAUCCAGGCUACAUUGUGAAGUGAGGAAAACAAAGUCAUUUCUAAAAUCAAAAUUUGUUCUAAAUCACCAAUAGAAUAGCUAAAAAUAAAAUUGAACCUGUAUAAGAAUCAAAACAAAAUGUGUGAGUAAAUAUUUUAAAUAUUUUUAGCUGUAGAUGGGCGCAAUAUUUUAUUUAUUUACAUUUAUGUGGUGCUGAGGAUCGAACUUCAUGCCUCACACAUAUGAGGCAAGCGCUCUACCACUGAGCUACAUCCCCAGCCCUGUGAAUAUAUUUUUAUAAUCUUGAAAUGUGGACGAUCUAAGUAUGGCACAAACCCGAAAGUCAUAAAAGUAAAAACAAAUAAGCUCAGACCAUACAUAUAGAAACCAAACAUUUUUCUGGGUGCUGUGGUACAUACCUGUAAUCCCAGUGACUUGGGAGCCUGAGGUAGGAGGAUUGCAAGUUCAAGACCAGCUUCAGCAACUUAGUGAGGCCCUAAGCAAUUUAGCAAGACCCUGUCUCAAAAUAAAAAAUAAACAGGGCUAGGGAUGUGGCUCAGUGGUAAGCACCCCUGGAUUCAAUCCCAGUACAAAACAACAACAACAACAGAACACACACACAUUUUUACUUGGUGAAAAACUAUCACACACAUACACCAAAAAAAAAGCAAAAAUGACAGAUUGGUAAAGUAACUGUAACACUAUUAAAAAAGAGGUUAUUUUAAUAUAUAAAGAGCUCCUGCAACUCAAUAAGAAAAACACCAACAAUUUAAAAGAAAAAAAAUGGACAAAAGACAUAAGCAAUUCAUGGAAAAAGAAAUGAAAAUAAGUACCUUUAAACAUGUAAAAAGAAGCUCAACUUAAUCCAUGAAGAAUGUAGAUUAGCAUAAUGAGAUACCAUUAUCAUUUAAGUUGGCAAAGAUAAAUUCAGCACUAAUGAGAAGGAAUUACUCUCAAUUUCUGGUACUUCUGGGGAGGGCUGUGGGUAAUAUCUGUCAAAUUUAAAAUGUACAUAGCACUUGGCACAGUUGUUCUUUCUUUCUUUCCUUCUUGUUUUUUCUUGAGACAGGGUCUCACUAAGUUGCCCAGGCUGGCCUUGAACUUGCAAUCCUCCUGCUUCAGCCUCCUGAGUUGCUGGAAUUAUGGGUGUGCUCCAGUGCACUAGGUGACACAGCUAUUCUUAUAGAUUCACAUGUAUACAUUGAAGAUAUACAGGAAUAUUAUUUCAACAUGAAUUAUAAUAUCAAAAAGUUGGAAAUAACUAUCCAUCAAUAUAGACCUGAAGCAAUUAACUUGUCAUAUGCAUGCAAUGGAAAACUAUGAAAUCCUAAAAUAUAACAGGGCAACUCUAUAGGGACUGAAAUGGAAUGAUCACUAUAUGUUUUUAAUAAAAAUAAAGAUGUAUUACAUUAAUAUAUUGCAAAGGAAAAUAUAAUUUUCCUUUUUUUUUUCGGUACCAGGGAUUGAACCCAGAGGCGCAUAACCAUUGAGCCACAUCCCUAGCCCUUUUUGUAUUUUAUUUAGAGACAAGGUCUCUCUGAGUUGCUUAGCACCUUGCUAAUUUGCUGAGGCUGGCCUUGAAUUUGUAAUCCUCUUGCCUCAGCCUCCCAAGCCCCUGGGAUAACAGGUAUGUGCCAGCUAAACUUACAUUCUUCUCCUUCCUCCUCCUCCUCCUCCUCCUCCUCCUCCUCUUCUUUUAUAAUUUCUCAGUUGUAAAUGGACACAAUGUUUUUUUAUGUACUUAUCUUUAUGUGGUGCCAAGAAUCAAAACCAGUGCCUCUUAAGUGUGAGACAAGUGCUCUACCACUGAGCUACAGCCCCAGCCCUAAACUUACAUUCUUAAACAUCUCUGGAUAAUACAAGAGACAGCUACCAGUGGGACCUGAGAAAAGAAUCGUGGACCAAGCAUCAGGGUGAGAAGGAGCUCAGAUUUUCAGUCGAUAUCUUUCAAUACUGUCAAUUCUGUAGAGUGUGCACAAAUUACCUUUAAACAUUAAAAAAAAAAUUCAUUUGGAGAGAGAGAGAACUCUCUCAGGUAAAGACCAAGCAGCCCCAUCCCCAUCCUACCGUUGAAGGGACAGUGUCUUUGGGUUCACCCUAUUACUUCUGUUCUUGCCCUAAUAAUUAAAUGCUUUCUUUUCUUGAAGGCUCAUUCCAGCCUCUGAAUCCUUCCAUCAAGUUCACAGAGGUGACCGUCGGUCCCCUGCUUUCCACAGUAGCUUGCAGGAUCUGUAGCUCCCCGCACCCUGCACUUUGUAUCAGUUGCGUCUCUGCAUCUGCCAUUAAAAUUGCCUCGCGCUUCUUCAUAUCACCUCGAAUGCCAUGUGGCUUUGUCAUGAGUCACCCUCUCUCCUGAUCUCUGGGACACCCACAGCCACACUUCACCCUGCAGUUCAUAUCAGGACCUGACAGCAUUGCAGAGCAUCGGGACUCUCCUUCUCUGCUUGCCCCAGGAGCUCCUGGAAGGUGGCAGCCUGGGCUUCACUCAUCUCUGUGCCCUUGAAAGUGCUGAGAGCAGAGUGAGCGCCCCAGAGAGCCGUCUCCAGUUCUCGGGUGAUGGAUGGCCAUUCAACAUAGCACAGUGUCAUGCGGUCUUUACUAGUCACCCUAGUACUUGCCUUGGCACUGAGAGCCGGUGUGACUGGAGGUGUGGUGCUUUCUAUGCUGCAAGGGCUGUGGUCCCCUCACACAGCAGCAGGGCGGGCGUCCAGCACCUGGCCACAUGCCCAGGGCUCAGAACCCUGCACCUUUCUCCAUCCU